UGGACAAAUACAGAGAUAUCGUCAGCUUAGAACAGGACAUUGCAGACCAGGGAAUGGACUGUGGCGAAUACAUAUCUGAAUUCGAUGGCUAUUACUCGAAGAACGAUGCCUACGAGUACGACUACAUGUGGAUGUACGAGGACGGUAUGGAUCCGGGGUCCGGGUCCGGGA